GAUCCCAUCAGCAAGUUAUCAGGAUCCAGAAUGCUCCAACUGAGAAGUUGCUGGAAGCUAAUUCCAUAUAUAAUUUUAAAUGAGGAUGGAAUGUACAGGAUUUCAGACAAAAAUUGGGCAGGACUCUGAGAGUCUCAUCAGUAGACCAAGACUCACCCUCUUUCCUGGAGGACCAGGUGGCCCUGCCUCACCGGUUGGACCAGGAGAACCCUAGAAAAAGAAAGCAGACAUUGGAAUCCUCAUCCAAGGAAAAUGCUGCUGGCCAAGUUAUUGAAGAAAGGAUCUGGGAAGACUUAACAGGAGGCUGAUUUGAGGAUGAGUUUACUGGCAUGUUCCACUGUAAAAAGCUUCCACUGACGUUCACUGGUGUCUGGUCUGGUGUAACCAUCAUCCCACAGUUCUAGUUUUUGUCAAGACUUAAUCUUCUAUUUCAGCAGAGAUCUAAUUAAGCUGAAGGACGAAUGUAUGAGGAGGGAAGGAAUAGAAAGGCAUGCAGACUGGGCAAAUUUGACUUUGAGGUUACUGUGGAGGAUAUACAG